rnacentral:rRNA from 1 species
GAAGUCUGCAACCCGACUUCGUGAAGCUGGAUUCGCUAGUAAUCGCGAAUCAGAAUGUCGCGGUGAAUACGUUCCCGGGUCUUGUACACACCGCCCGUCACACCAUGGGAGUCAGUAACGCCCGAAGCCGGUGACCUAACCGAAAGGGAGGAGCCGUCGAAGGUGGGACCGAUAACUGGGGUGAAGUCGUAACAAGGUAAC